rnacentral:rRNA from 1 species
GACGAACGCUGGCGGCGUGCUUAACACAUGCCAGUCGAACGGAAAGGCCCUGCUUUUGUGGGGUGCUCGAGUGGCGAACGGGUGAGUAACACGUGAGUAACCUGCCCUUGACUUUGGGAUAACUUCAGGAAACUGGGGCUAAUACCGGAUAGGAGCUCCUGCUGCAUGGUGGGGGUUGGAAAGUUUCGGCGGUUGGGGAUGGACUCGCGGCUUAUCAGCUUGUUGGUGGGGUAGUGGCUUACCAAGGCUUUGACGGGUAGCCGGCCUGAGAGGGUGACCGGCCACAAUGGGACUGAGAUACGGACCAGACUCCUACGGGAGGCAGCAGUGGGGAAUAUUGCACAAUGGGCGGAAGCCUGAUGCAGCAACGCCGCGUGCGGGAUGACGGCCUUCGGGUUGUAAACCGCUUUCGCCUGUGACGAAGCGUGAGUGACGGUAAUGGGUAAAGAAGCACCGGCUAACUACGUG